rnacentral:rRNA from 1 species
UACGUAGGGUGCAAGCGUUGUCCGGAAUUAUUGGGCGUAAAGAGCUCGUAGGCGGUUUGUCGCGUCGAAUGUGAAAACCCACGGCUCAACCGCGGGCCUGCAGCCGAUACGGGCAGGCUAGAGUUCGGUAGGGGAGACUGGAAUUCCUGGUGUAGCGGUGAAAUGCGCAGAUAUCAGGAGGAACACCGAUGGCGAAGGCAGGUCUCUGGGCCGAUACUGACGCUGAGGAGCGAAAGCGUGGGGAGCGAACAGG